rnacentral:lncRNA from 1 species
GUCAAAUCAAGAUCACUUAGCACCUGGACUACUUCCAGAAGUAUUCCUGGCUUGUUCAUGCUGUCAACCUUGACAACAGUGUAAUCAGCACUUAUCUCGUUGUCUAUUUUAACACUGCAGGCAAACAAACAAAAACCCAGGUGAUCAACUUCUUUCAUUCAUUAAGAAGCAUGCAAUCAUUAUUCAAAUUUGAUGCAUACCUUGGUGGAUUUAUUCUUUGACUAAGGUUCUCAUAUUCUGGGUCGAAAUAUGGCCAACAUACCCUAGGCUCCUCCAUGCCAAAGAGGCGUAUAUAUUACCCACCGGCCACCACCUCUUCCCUUCUUUGAUCUUAUAAACAGGUUAUAUCUAAACCGUAAACCUAUGAAUUUGCAGAAACUGAUCAAUCUUAGAUUUGGUUCAAGAUAAGAUGCUGAUAUUAUUUGAUUAGUCCCAGCAUGCUUCAAAACAUCUAGCAAAAGAAAAAGAAGAAGAAAAUAUUCUUUCCCCACUUGUUUUUUCUUUAUCUUCCUAUCGAGAGAAAGGUGGAUCUGUGAUCUGCAAUCAAUUUCGUAACAUCAGAUGAGUCAACGACAACUCAAUAAAACUAAGAAUUUAGAUCAAAUUAAAGUUAGUGGAAUCCAUUCCAUGUGUGAUGUAAAUUGAAGUCAUGUGGUGGCCAUGCAUGCAGCAAGUAAGGAAACAGUCAGGCAUGCAUAGCACCAAACAAGUGCUGAAAACAAGGUGUUCUGCAACAAAAUUAAUAAAAUCACAAUUCUAUCUAGGAUUUUGCAGCAUAGAUUGAAUGAUGAUUUUGUUGAUGAUGAUGAUGAUGAUUUUAUUUCUGUUUUUGCAGAAGCAAGUGCAAAGAUGACUGUACUGUACCCACCAAACAGGAGAAUAUAGAAAAGUUGAGCUCUCAGUAGAAUUCCCUAACAGUGCAGAUGAAGAAAAGAAGAUAUGAUGUAUGGUUUAAAAUCCUAACUAAAUCCAGUACCUCUUCUGCAAUGUAUGCAACAGUCUAGAACCCCAAAACAAGAAAGCUGGAAAUUAAAGACAACGCAAUCAAAUCAUCAAAAUCAUCCAGCUUUACUGCCUAGUUUACAGAGAAGGAGAGGAGGUCAGAAGUCUAACCUUUUUUUUUUUGGAGGAGAGAUCGAUGGACGGGUUGCUAAAGUUGAAAUUGAAAUGGGUUA